rnacentral:rRNA from 1 species
GACGAACGCUGGCGGCGUGCUUAACACAUGCAAGUCGAACGAAGAUGCCGGAGUGCUUGCACUUUGGCAGACUGAGUGGCGGACGGGUGAGUAACGCGUGGGUAACCUGCCUUAUACAGGGGGAUAACAGUUGGAAACGACUGCUAAUACCGCAUAAGCGCACGGUAUCGCAUGAUACAGUGUGAAAAACUCCGGUGGUAUAAGAUGGACCCGCGUCUGAUUAGCUUGUUGGUGAGGUAACGGCCCACCAAGGCGACGAUCAGUAGCCGGCCUGAGAGGGUGAACGGCCACAUUGGGACUGAGACACGGCCCAAACUCCUACGGGAGGCAGCAGUGGGGAAUAUUGCACAAUGGGGGAAACCCUGAUGCAGCGACGCCGCGUGAGUGAUGAAGUAUUUCGGUAUGUAAAACUCUAUCAGCAGGGAAGAUAAUGACGGUACCUGACUAAGAAGCACCGGCUAAAUACGUG